rnacentral:pre_miRNA from 1 species
AAGAGAAUGAAGGGGCUUCCUUCAGCCCAUACAUAUAUAUGAUUGCUGAAGCAUAUAGCGAUUCAUUCUUCAUUAAUUGAAUUAAUAUUAAUAUUUGGAUGAAUGAAGCGGAAGAUAUAUAUUUUGCAUAUAUAUGCUUGGACUGAAGGGGAGCUCCUUCUUUCUGUUGC